rnacentral:rRNA from 1 species
GAUGAACGCUGGCGGCGUGCCUAAUACAUGCAAGUCGAGCGAACAGACGAGGAGCUUGCUCCUCUGACGUUAGCGGCGGACGGGUGAGUAACACGUGGAUAACCUACCUAUAAGACUGGGAUAACUCCGGGAAACCGGUGCUAAUACCGGAUAAUAUAUUGAACCGCAUGGUUCAAUAGUGAAAGACGGUUUUGCUGUUACUUAUACAUGGAUCCGCGUCGCAUUAGCUAGUUGGUAAGGUAACGGCUUACCAAGGCAACGAUGCGUAGCCGACCUGAGAGGGUGAUCGGCCACACUGGAACUGAGACACGGUCCAGACUCCUACGGGAGGCAGCAGUAGGGAAUCUUCCGCAAUGGGCGAAAGCCUGACGGAGCAACGCCGCGUGAGUGAUGAAGGUCUUCGGAUCGUAAAACUCUGUUAUUAGGGAAGAACAAAUGUGUAAGUAACUAUGCACGUCUUGACGGUACCUAAUCAGAAAGCCACGGCUAACUACGUG